rnacentral:rRNA from 1 species
GAUGAACGCUGGCGGCGUGCCUAAUACAUGCAAGUCGAGCGAACGGACGAGAAGCUUGCUUCUCUGAUGUUAGCGGCGGACGGGUGAGUAACACGUGGAUAACCUACCUAUAAGACUGGGAUAACUUCGGGAAACCGGAGCUAAUACCGGAUAAUAUUUUGAACCGCAUGGUUCAAAAGUGAAAGACGGUCUUGCUGUCACUUAUAGAUGGAUCCGCGCUGCAUUAGCUAGUUGGUAAGGUAACGGCUUACCAAGGCAACGAUGCAUAGCCGACCUGAGAGGGUGAUCAGCCACACUGGAACUGAGACACGGUCCAGACUCCUACGGGAGGCAGCAGUAGGGAAUCUUCCGCAAUGGGCGAAAGCCUGACGGAGCAACGCCGCGUGAGUGAUGAAGGUCUUCGGAUCGUAAAACUCUGUUAUUAGGGAAGAACAGAUGUGUAAGUAAAUGUGCACAUCUUGACGGUACCUAAUCAGAAAGCCACGGCUAACUACGUG